UGUAUGGUGUGUGUGUGUUUGGAAGAGGAGUAAAGAAGAGUGCAAUGUGGCACUUGGGGAAAGGACAGAGAUGCUGCAGGGAGAUAUUUGCUGAUAUUUUUGCUUUGAGGGCUGCAGUGUAACCCUCUCCUAUCUUCUACUUUCAAGAAAAUAAAGUUUUCAGAGAGGCUUCACGGUUGACCAAGGGUCUGUGUGAGCUGGAAGUGCAGCCUGGGGCUGUGCCAUGGCAGAGUGACACCGGAGGAGCAGGGGAGGUUUGAACAUAAGGGUUUUACAGCACCAAGAAACCUUAGCUCCAUUAUCUUACACUUGGAGGUCUCUCACGGAUAAAUCAGCUGCUUUUCAAAAUAGAAGAGACUUAUGAAAAUGUAUCACUUGGCAGACAUAGAAAGCAGCUGCUUAUCAUCAUUAAUUUUCAAUAAAUAUGUAUUAAGCAACAGGAUAUAGAUCACUCUGUGAGGUUCAGGACCUUGGGAAAAUACAGUAUCCUAGAGACAGCAUUAACACAAGGCACGACUCAAGGCCGCUCCUGUCAUCUACACCCCUCCCGCUCUGCACGGCUGACUCAGAGCCUCCUGGCCUGCGGAGGAGCAAGAGGCACUGCACAGGCCACAGCGGGUUGUGAUCCAGGAGAGGCCAUUGGUUGGGGCGGGGGGAUGUUAAUUCCUCUGAGGUUGUGGGCAGGGGAGAUUUUCUUGGAGGACAUUCAUUUCCCAGUGGGGAGGGAAGAUUGAGACUAUAAUGUCUCUAGGGAAAUUUAAUAAUUAAGGAAGGUCCACAUGAUGGAACUGUGGGCCAUUUUCUAUUUCAGGCCUUAUGGUUAUUUUGCCUUUACCAUAGGGCGGUGCUUAUCACCAGCAAGACUGACCAACAAACCAGCUGUGGAGGGAAAUUGAGAGUGGGCUCCCUGCUGAAGACAGUAGACAUGGCCAUCAAUUAAUGUCCUGUUUUCUCCCGUGCAGAGCCUCUCAGGGCCAAAGCUGGAUUGUACCGGGCUGGGAAAACAAAAAAUAAAUACAUGGGGAGAGAAUGUUGAGGGGUGACUUGCUAACCAGUCAGUUGAAUUCCAGGCACAGAUUGAGUUGCUUCUGGAGUGGGCAGGGUCACUGUGAACGCCUACGUGAGCCUCUUCUGCACCACACAGCAGAAACUUAUUGAAAUUGGCAUCUUUGGGAGCUCGCUGUCAUCUCUUCACAAAACAUCCCCACGGAAAGCCAAACUUUCCCUUAGCAAGCGUGGCAACGUCCCAGAGUGCAGCCUGGAUCCCGUCAAGGAUAUCACAUGAUACUUCCUUGUCAUGUUUCCUUAGGCUCAUCUUGACUGUCCAUUUCUCAGACCUUCCUUGAUUUUGGUGACCUUGACAAUGUUGAGGAACAGUGGUCAGAAACCAAGUGAUGGCAGCUUUGUGUGGGGCUAAUCAGCUUCAUCCAAGUGCAGUCUUCAUCUGAGUGCACCCUGACAGUGCCUUGUUCAGAUCUGCUCACACGUCUCUUGGCUACCAGCCUGUGACUUCUGAUAAUGCCAGGGCAUGGGAUGCCACAGGAACCCCUUGGUGCCCACAUAUACAUGACUCAGUUGUGCAGGAUAGUUAAUGCUCCACUUGAAAGCUCUUUAAACAAUGGGAGAAAGGAACCAAUAAAUAAACGUUUCCUACCCCACGCCACAGCACUGACUCUGAGUCACAUUUUCUGUGGUUUCUCGGAAGACAUCGUGGUGUUAAACACACAAUCUCCCAUCUCAGCGGCCAGUGUAGCUUGCAUUGACUCACUCUUCUUUGCUGAAAUGCUUUCCCUGUUCCUUAGCUUUGCUCUUGGGAUCAUAAUUCCCAAUGAAAGCUUUGAUCAACAGUGUUUCUCUCAGGUUUUCUUUUCGAAAGAACUUAGGCUAAGACAGAUCAAUACAGUGUUGUAACCAGCUAGUAUGCAUUCCUUCCAAAGAUUUAUUAAGUCCUCCUGUGUGCAAAGCAUCAUGGUAGGCUUGGAGACAACUGGGAAAAUAAUCAAAUAAAUCAUUACAAGUAUAAAUGCUGUGAAGGAGAAGCACAGAGUGCUUUCAGAUUGUAAUAUCCUAAUCUAGGGAACUAAAAAGGGGCUUCUCCACUGAGACCUGAAGGAUGAAUAGGACCACUCCUGGGAAGAGGCAGGAGAAAAGGAGGGAGUAUGGUGGGAAGUGAGACAGCAGAUUCCAAGGGCUGGAGGCAAGUGAAGGUGGGUGUUUUUAAGAAUUCAAAGUAGCCCAGCCCUAGUGGGCUAAUGGCUAAGCGGAGAGAACAGAGAGAUUGGAGAGGAGUAUGAGGAAAAAGACUUUGGCGGAGUGAACAAGAACCCAACUGUGAAGAACCUUGAGCACUUAUCCGGUGAGCCACAGGAAACCUCUGGAGGGCUCUGAGUAGAGUAUUCCUCAAAGAUGACUUUGUCUAUGGAUGCGAGGAGUAUUAGGGGUCAGGAUCAUGCAGGAAGGCUAAUUAGAGGGCCAUUCAAGUGAUCUAAGCCAAAGAUGAAGAUGGUACCAAAUACAGUGGUGGCAGGUAAGAGGAAGAGAAGGUAAAUGAUUUGAGAGCUGCUAAAAUAGGGAUUUUUCAAUUUUUUGGAAGUUAAUAUAUGAGAUGAAUACAAUUUGUCGGAAGUUUUACAUAUCAUUUGUAUAAUUUGUGCAGAAACUUCACUUGC
rnacentral:lncRNA from 1 species